rnacentral:tRNA from 1 species
GUCCCUGUAGCUCAGUUGUUAGAGCCCCUGUACGUUGUGAGCGAAAGCGACUAGCAAUAACUGCCAGGAGGUCGAAGGAUCAAACCUGCCAGGGAUA